UCAGGAUGAACGCUGGCGGCGUGCCUAAUACAUGCAAGUCGAACGAGGUGCCUUUGUAGCAAUACGAGGGUAUCCUAGUGGCGAACGGGUGAGUAACGCGUUGGUGACCUACCCCAAAGUGUGGGAUACCAGUCCGAAAGGACUGCUAAUACCGCAUGUGGUCAUCGGGUCUAGAAACCGAUGUCGAAAGCAGUAAUGCGCUUUGGGAGGGACCUGCGUCCCAUCAGCUAGUUGGUAGGGUAACGGCCUACCAAGGCUACGACGGGUAGGGGACCUGAGAGGGUGACCCCCCACAAUGGAACUGAAAUACGGUCCAUACACCUACGGGUGGCAGCAGUAGGGAAUAUUGCACAAUGGACGAAAGUCUGAUGCAGCAACGCCGCGUGCACGAUGAAGGUCUUCGGAUCGUAAAGUGCUUUUCUGGGAGAUGAGAAAGGACAGUAUCCCAGAAAUAAGUCUCGGCUAACUACGUGCCAGCAGCCGCGGUAAAACGUAGGAGGCAAGCGUUAUCCGGAUUCACUGGGCGUAAAGCGCAUGCAGGCGGUUCGGUAAGUUGGGCGUGAAAUCUCCCGGCUUAACUGGGAGAGGUCGUUCAAUACUACCGGACUAGAGAACAGUAGAGGAAGAUGGAAUUCCCGGUGUAGUGGUGAAAUGCGUAGAUAUCGGGAGGAACACCAGUGGCGAAGGCGAUCUUCUGGACUGUUUCUGACGCUCAUAUGCGAAAGCUAGGGUAGUAAACGGGAUUAGAGACCCCGGUAAUCCUAGCUGUAAACGAUGUGAACUUGGCGUCGGUGGCUUAAACACUAUCGGUGCCGAAGCAAACGCGAUAAGUUCACCGCCUGGGGACUA
rnacentral:rRNA from 1 species